rnacentral:rRNA from 1 species
UACAGAGGUCUCAAGCGUUGUUCGGAUUCAUUGGGCGUAAAGGGUGCGUAGGUGGCGCGCUAAGUCAGGUGUGAAAUCUCGGGGCUUAACUCCGAAACUGCAUUUGAUACUGGCGUGCUUGAGGACUGGAGAGGAGACUGGAAUUCAUGGUGUAGCAGUGAAAUGCGUAGAUAUCAUGAGGAAUACCAGAGGCGAAGGCGGCUACCUGGACAAUUGCUGACGCUCAGGCACGAAAGCAUGGGGAGCAAAAGGG